GUGCCAGCAGCCGCGGUAACACCGGCGGCCCGAGUGGUAGCCGUUAUUAUUGGGUUUAAAGGGUCCGUAGCCGGCUUAUUAAGUCUCUUGGGAAAUCUGGCGGCUCAAUCGUCGGGCGUUCAAGAGAUACUGUUAGGCUUGGGACCGGGAGAGGUGGGAGGUACUCCAGGGGUAGGGAUGAAAUCUCGUAAUCCUUGGGGGACCACCGAUGGCGAAGGCAUCCCACCAGAACGGGUCCGACGGUGAGGGACGAAAGCUGGGGGCACGAACCGGAUUAGAUACCCGGGUAGUCCCAGCCGUAAACGAUGCUCGCUAGGUGUCAGGUGCGGUGCGACCGCAUCUGGUGCCGUAGUGAAAACUUGAAGCGAGUCACCUGGGAAGUACGGUCGCAAGGCUGAAACUUAAAGGAAUUGGCGGGGGAGCACUACAACGGGUGGAGCCUGCGGUUCAAUUGGAUUCAACGCCGGAAAGCUUACCGGGUCANACAGCAAUAUGAAGGUCAAGCUAAAGACUUUACCGAAUUCGCUGAGAGGAGGUGCAUGGCCGUCGUCAGUUCGUAUCGUGAGACAUCCUGUUAAGUCAGGCAACGAGCAAGACCCGUGCCCACAGUUGCCAGCAUACCCUCCGGGGUGAUGGGCACACUGUGGGGACCGCCGCUGCUAAAGCGGAGGAAGGUGCGGGCUACGGUAGGUCAGUAUGCCCCGAAUCAUCCGGGCUACACGCGGGCUACAAUGGUUGGGACAAUGGGCACCUACACCGAGAGGUGAUGGUAAUCUCCUAAACCCAGCCUUAGUUCGGAUUGAGGGCUGCAACUCGCCCUCAUGAAGCCGGAAUCCGUAGUAAUCGCGUAUCAAUAUCACGCGGUGAAUACGUCCC
rnacentral:rRNA from 1 species